rnacentral:rRNA from 1 species
CGGAAUCUGCCUAUUUGUGGGGGAUAACGUAGGGAAACUUACGCUAAUACCGCAUACGACCUACGGGUGAAAGCGGAGGACCUUCGGGCUUCGCGCAGAUAGAUGAGCCGAUGUCGGAUUAGCUAGUUGGCGGGGUAAUGGCCCACCAAGGCGACGAUCCGUAGCUGGUCUGAGAGGAUGAUCAGCCACACUGGAACUGAGACACGGUCCAGACUCCUACGGGAGGCAGCAGUGGGGAAUAUUGGACAAUGGGCGCAAGCCUGAUCCAGCCAUGCCGCGUGGGUGAAGAAGGCCUUCGGGUUGUAACGCCCUUUUGUUGGGAAAGAAAAGCAGUCGGUUAAUACCCGAUUGUUCUGACGGUACCCAAAGAAUAAGCACCGGCUAACUUCGUGCCAGCAGCCGCGGUAAUACGAAGGGUGCAAGCGUUACUCGGAAUUACUGGGCGUAAAGCGUGCGUAGGUGGUUUGUUAAGUCUGAUGUGAAAGCCCUGGGCUCAACCUGGGAAUUGCAUUGGAUACUGGCAGGCUAGAGUGCGGUAGAGGGUAGUGGAAUUCCCGGU